GCCAGCGUGGAGUAAUGGUUUGACUGCUGGACUACAGCUCUGGAGACCAGGGUUCAAAUCCUCGCUCAGCCA